AAAGUUAUAGUUUAAAUAAAAACGUAUUGUUUACACCAAUAAGAUUCUUUUGAUAACUUU
rnacentral:tRNA from 1 species